GCAGGGAAGAGGAAGAAAGAGAGGACCCAAGAGCACUGGGAAUGGGAACAUGGAGGAAAGCAUGAGCUCUGUACCCUAUCUUCUAGCACCAAAGGAGAUUUGGUAUUGUGUUUUCCCAGUGCCUCCCAUUCCUAUUGUUCUUGGAUGCUCCUUCCCCUUCCCCUUGGCU
rfam:Setaria italica strain Yugu1 chromosome III, whole genome shotgun sequence.